ACGGUGCACUUGUGUCCAGAUCGACCAGGAUUUCACACAGCGAAAUGAGAAUCACGGCCCUGUUCAUCGCGGUCUUGGUUGCGUUGGCGGCGUUGUUCACCGCCACCGAAGCCGACCCGACCUUCUUUAAGAACAAGGGCGGCGGCGCCGGCAAAGGCGGCGGCAAAUACGGCGGCGGCGGAAAAGGCGGCGGCAAAGGAGGCCUGUUCGGGGGGCAGGGAUACCCGUUCCCUCCCUUCGGCGGCUUCUUCGGGAAGAAGGGAUGAGCAGCGCGGGCGCGGAAAGGGCUGCAGGAGAAAGGAUAUCGGAUGGUCCAAGUCGCAGGAUUUGAGCGCUGUGUGCGGCUUGGCCUGAAAACAGGCAGCGCCCCUCGCUCUCGGGGGCUGGAAAAUAUGUAUAUAGCAAAAAAUAUAUAUAUAUGUGUAUAUAUAGCCUAAAGUACAUGACCAUAACAUGAAUGUC